rnacentral:misc_RNA from 1 species
UCACGGUUUGCACCGGCAGUCCCGUUAGAGUUCCCGACAUGACUCGCUGGCAACUAACGGCAGGGGUUGCGCUCGUUAUAGGACUUAACCUGACACCUCACGGCACGAGCUGACGACAACCAUGCAGCACCUUGUAAUCUGUCCGAAGAAGGAUCUGUUUCCAAAUCUGUCAGACUACAUUCAAGCCCUGGUAAGGUUCCUCGCGUAUCAUCGAAUUAAACCACAUGCUCCACCGCUUGUGCGGGCCCCCGUCAAUUCCUUUGAGUUUCAUUCUUGCGAACGUACUCCCCAGGUGGGAUACUUAUCACUUUCGCUUGGCCACCCAGCCUACCAAUGCAGGCCGGACAGCUAGUAUCCAUCGUUUACGGCGUGGACUAC